UACGGAGGGUGCAAGCGUUAUCCGGAUUCACUGGGUUUAAAGGGUGCGUAGGUGGGUCUGUAAGUCAGUGGUGAAAUCUCAGAGCUUAACUUGGAAACUGCCAUUGAUACUAUCAGUCUUGAAUAUUGUGGAGGUCAGCGGAAUAUGUCAUGUAGCGGUGAAAUGCUUAGAUAUGACAUAGAACACCAAUUGCGAAGGCAGCUUGCUACACAGUUAUUGACGCUGAGGCACGAAAGCGUGGGGAGCAAACAGG
rnacentral:rRNA from 1 species